CAUUCCGAGUCCGGCGGACGAACUUCGCCCGCGCCCCCCACCAAGGCUAUAGCCCACCCGUUUUCUGGCCAUUUUUCCGCUGGGGGGUUUUGGCACCACGACCUUCGGGCGCUUAUUUUUGGGCGCAGCUGUGCCCGCGACUACCCGCGGGCACCUCGAGGCCCCUUGCAAAGUCUCGCCCCAUUCCGAGUCCGGCGGACGAACUUCGCCCGCGCCCCCCACCAAGGCUAUAGCCCACCCAUUUUUUGGCCAUUUUUCCGCUGGGGGGUUUUGGCACCACGACCUUCGGGCGCUUAUUUUUGGACGCGGCUUUGCCCGCGACUUUCCGCGGGCACCCCGAGGCCCCUCGCAAAGUCUCGCCCCAUUCCGAGUCCGGCGGACGAACUUCGCCCGCGCCCCCCACCAAGGCUAUAGCCCACCCGUUUUUUGGCCAUUUUUCCGCUGGGGGGUUUUGGCACUACGACCUUCGGGCGCUUAUUUUUGUGCGCGGCUUGGCCUGCGGCUUAUUUUUGGCACCCCGAGGCCCCUCGCAAAGUAUCGCCCCAUUCCGAGUCCGGCGAACGAACUUCGCCCGCACCCCCCACCAAAGCUCUAGCCCACCCGUUUUUUGGCCAUUUUUCCGCUGGGGGGUUUUGGCACCACGACCUUCGGGCGCCUAUUUUUGGGCGCGGCUUUGCCCGCGGCUUAUUUUUGGCAGCCCGAUGCCCCUCGCAAAGUCUCGCCCCAUUCCGAGUCCGGCGGACGAACUUCGCCCGCGCCCCCCACCAAGGCUAUAGCCCACCCGUUUUUUAGCCAUUUUUCCGCUGGGGGGUUUUGGCACCACGACCUUCGGGCGCUUGUUUUUGGGCGCGGCUUUGCCCGCGGCUUAUUUUUGGCACCCCGAGGCCCCUCGCAAAGUCUCGCCCCAUUCCGAGUGCGGCGGACGAACUUCGCCCGCGCCCCCCACCAAGGGUAUAGCCCACCCGUUUUUUGGCCAUUUUUCCGCUGGGGGGUGUUGGCACCACGACCUUCGGGCGCUUAUUUUUGGGCGCGGGUUUGCCCGCGGCUUAUUUUUGGCACCACGAGGCCCCUCGCAAAGUCUGGCCCCAUUCUGAGUCCGGCAGACGAACUUCGCCAGCGCCCCCCACCUAGGCUAUAGCCCACGACCCGUUUUUUGGCCAUUUCUCCGCUGGGCGGUUUUGGCACCACGACCUUCGGGCCCUUAUUUUUGGGCGCGGGUUUGCCCGCUGCUUAUUUUUAGCACCCCGAGGCCCCUCGCAAAGUCUCGCCCCAUUCCGAGUCCGGCGGACGAACUUCGCCCGCGCCCCCCACCUAGGCUAUAGACCACCCGUUUUUUGGCCAUUUGUCCGCUGGGGGGUUUUGGCACCACGACCUUCGGGCGCUUAUUUUUGGGCGCGGCUUUGGCCGCGGCUUAUUUUUGGCACCCCCAGGCCCCUCCCAAAGUCUUGCCCCAUUCCGAGUCCGGCGGACGAACUUCGCCCGCGCCCCCCCCAAGGCUAUAGCCCACGACCCGUUUUUUGGCCUUUUUCCGCUGGGGGGUUUUGCACCACGACCUUCGGGCGCCUAUUUUUGGGCGCGGCUUUGCCCGCGGCUUAUUUUUGGCACCCCGAGGCCCCUCGCAAAGUCUCGUCCCAUUCCGAGUCCGGCGGACGAACUUCGCCCGCGCCCCCCACCAACGAUAUAGCCCACCCGUUUUUUGGCCAUUUUUCCGCUGGGGGGUGUGGGCACCACGACCUUCGGGCGCUUAUUUUUGGGCGCGGGUUUGCCCGCGGCUUAUUUUUGGCACCCCGAGGCCCCUCGCAAAGUCUCGCCCCAUUCCGAGUCCGGCGGACGAACUUCGCCCGCGCCCCCCACCAAGGCUAUAGCCCACCCGUUUUUUGGCCAUUUUUCAGCUGGGGGGUUUUGGCACCACGACCUUCGGGCGCUUAUUUUUGGGCGCGGGUUUGCCCGCGGCUUAUUUUUGGCACCACGAGGCCCCUCGCAAAGUCUCGCCCCAUUCUGAGUCCGGCAGACGAACUUCGCCAGCGCCCCCCACCUAGGCUAUAGCCCACGACCCGUUUUUUGGCCAUUUCUCCGCUGGGCGGUUUUGGCACCACGACCUUCGGGCGCUUAUUUUUGGGCGCGGGUUUGCCCGCUGCUUAUUUUUAGCACCCCGAGGCCCCUCGCAAAGUCUCGCCCCAUUCCGAGUCCGGCGGACGAACUUCGCCCGCGCCCCCCACCUAGGCUAUAGACCACCCGUUUUUUGGCCAUUUGUCCGCUGGGGGGUUUUGGCACCACGACCUUCGGGCGCUUAUUUUUGGGCGCGGCUUUGGCCGCGGCUUAUUUUUGGCACCCCGAGGCCCCUCGCAAAGUCUUGCCCCAUUCCGAGUCCGGCGGACGAACUUCGCCCGCGCCCCCCACCAAGGCUAUAGCCCACGACCCGUUUUUUGGCCAUUUUUCCGCUGGGGGGUUUUUGCACCACGACCUUCGGGCGCUUAUUUUUGGGCGCGGCUUGCCCGCGGCUUAUUUUUGGUACCCCGAGGCCCCUCGCAAAGUCUCGCCCCAUUCCGAGUCCGGCGGACGAACUUCGCCCGCGCCCCCCACCAACGCUAUAGCCCACCCGUUUUUUGGCCAUUUUUCCGCUGGGGGGUGCUGGCACCACGACCUUCGGGCGCUUAUUUUUGGGCGCGGGUUUGCCCGCGGCUUAGUUUUGGCACCCCGAGGCCCCUCGCAAACUCUCGCCCCAUUCCGAGUCCGGCAGACGAACUUCGCCCGCGCCCCCCACCAAGGCUAUAGCCCACGACCCGUUUUUUGGCCAUUUCUCCGCUGGGCGGUUNNNNNNNNNNNNNNNNNNNNNNNNNNNNNNNNNNNNNNNNNNNNNNNNNNNNNNNNNNNNNNNNNNNNNNNNNNNNNNNNNNNNNNNNNNNNNNNNNNNNCACGACCUUCGGGCGCUUAUUUUUGGGCGUGGGUUUGCCCGCUGAUUAUUUUUGGCACCCUGAGGCCCUUCGCAAAGUCUCGCCCCAUUCUGAGUCCGGCGGACGAACUUCGCCCGCGCCCCCCACCUAGGCUAUAGACCACCCGUUUUUUGGCCAUUUUUCCGCUGGGGGGUUUUGGCACCACGACCUUCGGGCGCUUAUUUUUGGACGCGGCUUUGCCCGCGGCUUAUUUUUGGCACCCCGAGGCCCCUCGCAAAGUCUUGCCCCAUUCCGAGUCCGGCGGACGAACUUCGCCCGCGGCCCCCAGCAAGGCUAUAGCCCACGACCCGUUUUUUGGCCAUUUUUCCGCUGGGGGGUUUUGGCACCACGACCUUCGGGCGCUUAUUUUUGGGCGCGGCUUUGCCCGCGGCUUAUUUUUGGCACCCCGAGGCCCCUCGCAAAGUCUCGCCCCAUUCCGAGUCCGGCGGACGAACUUCGCCCGCGCCCCCCACCAAGGCUAUAGCCCACGACCCGUUUUUUUGCCAUUUUUCCGCUGGGGGGUUUUUGCACCACGACCUUCGGGCGCUUAUUUUUGGGCGCGGCUUUGGCCGCGGCUUAUUUUUGGUACCCCGCGGCCCCUCGCAAAGUCUCGCCCCAUUCCGAGUCCGGCGGACGAACUUCGCCCGCGCCCCCCACCUAGGUUAUAGACCACCCGUUUUUUGGCCAUUUUUCCGCUGGGGGGUUUUGGCACCACUACCUUCGGGCGCUUAUUUUUGGACGCGGCUUUGCCCACGGCUUAUUUUUGGCACCCCGAGGCCCCUCGCAAAGUCUUGCCCCAUUCCGAGUCCGGCGGACGAACUUCGCCCGCGGCCCCCAGCAAGGCUAUAGCCCACGACCCGUUUUUUGGCCAUUUUUCCGCUGGGGGGUUUUGGCACCACGACCUUCGGGCGCUUAUUUUUGGACGCGGCUUUGCCCGCGGCUUAUUUUUGGCACCCCGAGGCCCCUCGCAAAGUCUCGCCCCAUUCCGAGUCCGGCGGACGAACUUCGCCCGCGCCCCCCACCAAGGCUAUAGCCCACGACCCGUUUUUUGGCCAUUUUUCCGCUGGGGGGUUUUUGCACCACGACCUUCGGGCGCUUAUUUUUGGGCGCGGCUUUGCCCGCGGCUUAUUUUUGGCACCCCGAGGCCCCUCGCAAAGUCUCGCCCCAUUCCGAGUCCGGCGGACGAACUUCCCCCGUGCCCCCCACCAAGGCUAUAGCCCACCGUUUNNNNNNNNNNNNNNNNNNNNNNNNNNNNNNNNNNNNNNNNNNNNNNNNNNNNNNNNNNNNNNNNNNNNNNNNNNNNNNNNNNNNNNNNNNNNNNNNNNNNNNNNNNNNNNNNNNNNNNNNNNNNNNNNNNNNNNNNNNNNNNNNNNNNNNNNNNNNNAUCAAGGCUAUAGCCCACGACCCGUUUUUUGGCCAUUUUUCCGCUGGGGGGUUUUGGCACCACGACCUUCGGGCACCUAUAUUUGUGCGCGGCUUUGCCCGCUGCUUAUUUUUGGCACCCCGUGGCCCCUCGCAAAGUCUCGCCCCAUUCUGAGUCCGGCGGACGAACUUCGCCCGCGCCCCCCACCAAGGCUAUAGCCCACGACCCGUUUUUUGGCCAUUUCUCCGCUGGGCGGUUUUGGCACCACGACCUUCGGGCGCUUAUUUUUGGGCGCGGGUUUGCCCGCUGCUUAUUUUUGGCACCCCGAGGCCCCUCGCAAAGUCUCGCCCCAUUCCGAGUCCGGCGGACGAACUUCGCCCGCGCCCCCCACCAAGGCUAUAGCCCACGACCCGUUUUUUGGCCAUUUUUCCGCUGGGGGGUUUUGGCACCACGACCUUCGGGCGCUUAUUUUUGGGCGCGGCUUUGCCCGCGGCUUAUUUUUGGCACCCCGAGGCCCCUCGCAAAGUCUCGCCCCAUUCCGAGUCCGGCGGACGAACUUCGCCCGCGCCCCCCACCAAGGCUAUAGCCCACGACCCGUUUUUUGGCCAUUUUUCCGCUGGGGGGUAUUGGCACCACGACCUUCGGGCGCUUAUUUUUGGGCGCGGCUUAGCCCGCGGCUUAUUUUUGGCACCCCGAGGCCCCUCGCAAAGUCUCGCCCCAUUCCAAGUCUGGCAGACGAACUUCGCCCACGCCCCCCACCAAGGCUAUAGUCCACGACCCGUUUUUUGGCCAUUUUCCGAUGGUGGGUUUUGGCACCACGACCUUCGGGCGCUUAUUUUUGGGCGCGGCCUUGCCCGCGGCUUAUUUUUGGCACACCAAGGCCCCUCGCAAAGUCUCGCCCCAUUCCGAGUCCGGCGGACGAACUUCGCCCGCGCCCCCCACCAAGGCUAUAGCCCACGACCCGUUUUUUGGCCAUUUUUCCGCUGGGGGGUUUUGGCACCACGACCUUCGGGCGCUUAUUUUUGGGCGCGGCUUUGCCCGCGGCUUAUUUUUGGCACCCCGAGGCUCCUCGCAAAGUCUGGCCCCAUUCCGAGUCUGGCGGACGAACUUCGCCUGCGCCCCCAACCAAGGCUAUAGCCCACGACCCGUUUUUUGGCCAUUUUUCCGCUGGGUGGUUUUGGCACCACGACCUUCGGGCGCUUAUUUUUGGGCGCGGCUUUGCCCGCGGCUUAUUUUUGGCACCCCGAGGCCCCUCCCAAAGUCUCGCCCCAUUCCGAGUCCUGCGGACGAACCUCGCCCGCGCCCCCCACCAAGGCUAUAGCCCACGACCCGUUUAUUGGCCAUUUUUCCGCUGGGGGGUUUUGGCACCCCGACCUUCGGGCGCUUAUUUUUGGGCGCGGCUUUGCCCGCUGCUUAUUUUUGGCACCCCGAGGCCCCUCGCAAAGUCUCGCCCCAUUCCGAGUGCGGCGGACGAACUUCGCCAGCGCCCCUCACCAAGGCUAUAGCCCACGACCCGUUUUUUGGCCAUUUUUCCGCUGGGGGGUUUUGGCACCACGACCUUCGGGCGCUUAUUUUUGGGCGCGGCUUUGCCCGCGGCUUAUUUUUGGCACCCCGAGGCCCCUCGCUAAGUCUCGCCCCAUUCCGAGUCCGGCGGACGAACUUCGCCCGCGCCCCCCACCAAGGCUAUAGCCCACCCGUUUUUUGGCCAUUUUUCCGCUGGGGGGUUUUGGCACCACGACCUUCGGGCGCUUAUUUUUGGGCGCGGCUUAGCCCGCGGCUUAUUUUUGGCACCCCGAGGCCCCUCGCAAAGUCUCGCCCCAUUCCGAGUCCGGCGGACGAACUUCGCCCACGCCCCCCACCAAGGCUAUAGUCCACGACCGUUUUUUUGGCCAUUUUUCCGAUGGGGGUUUUUGGCACCACGACCUUCGGGCGCUUAUUUUUGGGCGCGGCCUUGCCCGCGGCUUAUUUUUGGCACCCUGAGGCCCACCGCAAAGUCUCGCCCCAUUCCGAGUCCGGCGGACGAACUUCGCCCGCGCCCCCCACCAAGGCUAUAGCCCACGACCCGUUUUUUGGCCAUUUUUCCGCUGGGGGGUUUUGGCACCACGACCUUCGGGCGCUUAUUUUUGGGCGCGGCUUUGCCCGCGGAUUCUUUUUCGCACCCCGAGGCCCCUCGCAAAGUCUGGCCCCAUUCCGAGUCUGGCGGACGAACUUCGCCUGCGCCCCCAACCAAGGCUAUAGCCCACGACCCGUUUUUUGGCCAUUUUUCCGCUGGGGGGUUUUGGCACCACGACCUUUGGGCGCUUAUUUUUGGGCGCGGCUUUGCCUGCGGCUUAUUUUUGGCACCCCGAAGGCCCCUGGCAAAAGUCUCGCCCCAUUCCGAGUCGGGCGGACGAAAUUCGCCCGCGCCCCCCACCAAGGCUAUAGCCCACGACCCGUUUUUUGGCCAUUUUUCCACUGGGGGGUAUUGGCACCACGACCUUCGGGCACCUAUAUUUGUGCGCGGCUUUGCCCGCUGCUUAUUUUUGGCACCCCGUGGCCCCUCGCAAAGUCUCGCCCCAUUCUGAGUCCGGCGGACGAACUUCGCCCACACCCCCCACCAAGGCUAUAGCCCACGACCCGUUUUUUGGCCAUUUUUCCGCUGGGGGGUUUUGGCACCACGACCUUUGGACGCUUAUUUUUGGGCGCGGCUUUGCCCACUGCUUAUUUUUGGCACCGCGAGGCCCCUCGCAAAGUCUCGCCCCAUUCCGAGUCCGGUAGACGAACUUCGCCCGCGCCCCCCACCAAUGCUAUAGCCCACGACCCGUUUUUUGGCCAUUUUUCCGCUGGGGUGUUUUUGCACCACGACCUUCGGGCGCCUAUUUUUGGGCGCGGCUUUGCCCGCGGCUUAUUUUUGGCACCCCGAGGCCCCUCACAAAGUCUCGCCCCAUUCCGAGUCCGGCGGACGAACUUCGCCCGCGCCCCCCACCAAGGCUAUAGCCCACGAACCGUUUUUUGGCCAUUUUUCCGCUGGGGGGUUUUGGCACCACGACCUUCGGGCGCUUAUUUUUGGGCGCGGCUUUGCCCGCGGCUUAUUUUUGGCACCCCGAGGCCCCUCACAAAGUCUCGCCCCAUUCCGAGUCCGGCGGACGAACUUCGCCCGCGCCCCCCACCAAUGCUAUAGCCCACGACCCGUUUUUUGGCCAUUUUUCCGCUGGGAUGUUUUUGCACCACGACCUUCGGGCGCUUAUUUUUGGGCGCGGCUUUGCCCGCGGCUUAUUUUUGGCACCCCGAGGCCCCUCGCAAAGUCUCGCCCCAUUCCGAGUCAAGCGGACGAACUUCGCCCGCGCCCCCCACCAAGGCUAUAGCCACCCGUUUUUGGCCAUUUUUCCGCUGGGGGGUAUUGGCACCACGACCUUCGGGCGCUUAUUUUUGGGCGCGGCUUUGCCUGCGGCUUAUUUUUGGCACCCCGAGCCCCCUCGCAAAGUCUCGCCCCAUUCCAAGUCCGGCGGACGAACUUCGCCCGCGCCCCCCACCAAGGCUAUAGCCCACGACCCGUUUUUUGGCCAUUUUUCCGCUGGGGGGUUUUGGCACCACGACCUUCGGGCGCUUAUUUUUGGGCGCGGCUUUGCCCGCGGCUUAUUUUUGGCACCCCGAGGCCCCUCGCAAAGUCUCGCCCCAUUCCGAGUCCGGCGGACGAACUUCGCCCGCGCCCCCCACCAAGGCUAUAGCCCACCCGUUUUUUGGCCAUUUUUCCGCUGGGGGGUUUUGCUACCACGACCUUCGGGCGCUUAUUUUUGGGCGCGGCUUUGCCCGCGGCUUAUUUUUGGCACCCAGAGGCCCCUCGCAAAGUCUCGCCCCAUUCCGAGUCCGGGCGGACGAACUUCGCCCGCGCCCCACACCAAGGCUAUAGCCCACGACCCGUUUUUUGGCCAUUUUUCCGCUGGGGGGUUUUGGCAGCACGACCUUCGGGCACUUAUAUUUGGGCGCGGCUUAUUUUUGGCACCCCGAGGCCCCUCGCAAAGUCUCGCCCCGUUCCGAGUCCGGCGGACGAACUUCGCCCGCGCCCCCCACCAAGGCUAUAGCCCACGACCCGUUUUUUGGCCAUUUUUCCGCUGGGGGGUUUUGGCAUCACGACCUUCGGGCGCUUGUUUUUGGGCGCGGCUUUGCCUUCGGCUUAUUUUUGGCACCCCGAGGCCCCUCGCAAAGUCUCGUCCCAUUCCGAGUCCGGCGGACGAACUUCGCCCGCGCCCCCCACCAAGGCUAUAGCCCACGACCCGUUUUUUGGCCAUUUUUCCGCUGGGGGGUUUUGGCACCACGACCUUCGGGCGCUUAUUUUUGGGCGCGGCUUUGCCCGCGGCUUAUUUUUGGCACCCCGAGGCCCCUCCCAAAGUCUCGCCCCAUUCAGAGUCCUGCGGACGAACUUCGCCCGCGCCCCCCACCAAGGCUAUAGCCCACGACCCGUUUUUUGGCCAUUUUUCCGCUGGGGGGUUUUGGCACCCUGACCUUCGGGUGCUUAUUUUUGGGCGCGGCUUUGCCGGCAGCUUAUUUUUGGCACCCCGAGGCCCCUUGCAAAGUCUCGCCCCAUUCCGAGUCCGGCGGACGAACUUCGCCCGCGCCCCCCACCAAGGCUAUAGCCCACCCGUUUUUUGGCCAUUUUUCCGCUGGGGGGUUUUGGCACCACGACCUUCGGGCGCUUAUUUUUGGGCGCGGCUUUGCCCGCGGCUUAUUUUUGGCACCCCGAGGCCCCUCGCAAAGUUUCGCCCCAUUCCGAGUCCCGCGGACGAACUUCGCCCGCGCCCCCCACCAAGGCUAUAGCCCACCCGUUAUUUGGCCAUUUUUCAGCUGGGGGGUUUUGGCACCACGACCUUCGGGCGCUUAUUUUUGGGCGCGGCUUUGCCCGUGGCUUAUUUUUGGCACCCCGAGGCCCCUCGCAAAGUUUCGCCCCAUUCCGAGUCCGGCGGACGAACUUCGCCCGCGCCCCCCACCAAGGCUAUAGCCAAACCGUUAUUUGGCCAUUUUUCCGCUGGGGGGUUUUGGCACCACGACCUUCGGGCGCUUAUUUUUGGGCGCGGCUUUGCCCGCGGCUUAUUUUUGGCACCUCGAGGCCCCUCGCAAAGUCUCGCCCCAUUCCGAGUCCGGCGGACGAACUUCGCCCGCGCACCCCACCAAGGCUAUAGCCCACGACCCGUUUUUUGGCCAUUUUUCCGCUGGGGGGUUUUGGCACCACGACCUUCGGGUGCUUAUUUUUGGGCGCGGCUUUGCCCGCGGCUUAUUUUUGGCACCCCGAGGCCCCUCGCAAAGUCUCGCCCCAUUCCGAGUCCGGCGGACGAACUUCGCCCGCGCCCCCCACCAAGGCUAUAGCCCACGACCUGUUUUUUGGCCAUUUUUCCGCUGGGGGGUUUUGGCACCACGAGCUUCGGGCGGUUAUUUUUGGGCGCGGCUUUGCCCGCGGCUUAUUUUUGGCACCCCGAGGCCCCUCGCAAAGUCUCGCCCCAUUCCGAGUCCGGCGGAAGAACUUCGCCCGCGCUCCCCGCCAAGGCUAUAGCCCACGACCCGUUUUUUGGCCAUUUUUCCGCUGGGGGGUUUUGGCACCACGACCUUCGGGUGCUUAUUUUUGGGCGCGGCUUUGCCCGCUGCUUAUUUUUGGCACCCCGAGGCCCCUCGCAUAGUCUCGCCCCAUUCCGAGUCCGGCGGACGAACUUCGCCCGCGCCCCCCGCCAAGGCUAUAGCCCACGACCCGUUUUUUGGCCAUUUUUCCGCUGGGGGGUUUUGGCACCACGACCUUCGGGUGCUUAUUUUUGGGCGCGGCUUUGCCCGCGGCUUAUUUUUGGCACCCCGAGGCCCCUCGCAUAGUCUCGGCCCAUUCCGAGUCCGGCGGACGAACUUCGCCCGCGCCCCCCACCAAGGCUAUAGCCCACGACCCGUUUUUUGGUCAUUUUUCCGCUGGGGGGUUUUCGCACCACGACCUUCGGGUGCUUAUUUUUGGGCGCGGCAUUGCCCGCGGCUUAUUUUUGGCACCCCGAGGCCCCUCGCAUAGUCUCGCCCCAUUCCGAGUCCGGCGGACGAACUUCGCCCGCGCCCCCCGCCAAGGCUAUAGCCCACGACCCGUUUUUUGGCCAUUUUUCCGCUGGGGGGUUUUGGCACCACGACCUUCGGGCGCUUAUUUUUGGGCGCGGCUUUCCCCGCGGCAUAGUUUUGGCACCCCGAGGCCCCUCGCAAAGUCUCGCCCCAUUUCGAGUUCGGCGGACGAAAUUUGCCCGCCCCCCCCCCCCCCCAAGGCUAUAGCCCACGACCUGUUGUUUGGCCAUUUUUCCGCUGGGGGGUUAUGGCACCACGACCUUCGGGCGGUUAUUUUUGGGCGCGGCUUUGCCCGUGGCUUAUUUUUGGCACCCCGAGGCCCCUCGCAAAGUCUCGCCCCAUUCCGAGUCCGGCGGACGAACUUCGCCCGCGCCCCCCACCAAGGCUAUAGCCCACGACCCGUUUUUUGGCCAUUUUUCCGCUGGGGGGUUUUGGCACCACGGCCUUCGGGCGCUUAUUUUUGGGCGCGGCUUUGCCCGCGGCUUAUUUUUGGCACCCCGAGGCCCCUCGCAAAGUCUCGCCCCAUUCCGAGUCCGGUGGACGAACUUCGCCCGCACCCCCCAGCAAGGCUAUAGCCCACGACCCGUUUUUUGGCCAUUUUUCCGCUGGGGGAUUUUGGCACAACGACCUUCGGGCGCUUAUUUUUGGGCGCGGCUUUGCCCGCGGCUUAUUUUUGGCACCCCGAGGCCCCUCGCAAAGUCUCGUCCCAUUCCGAGUCCGGCGGACGAACUUCGCCAGCGCCCCCCACCAAGGCUAUAGCCCACCCGUUUUUUGGCCAUUUUUCCGCUGGGGGGUUUUGGCACCACGACCUUCGGGCGCUUAUUUUUGGCACCCCGAGGCCCCUCGCAAACUCUCGCCCCAUUCCGAGGCCGUCGGACGAACUUCGCCCGCGCCCCCCACCAAGGCAAUAGCCCAAGACCCGUUUUUUGGCCAUUUUUCCGCUGGGGGGUUUUGGCACCACAACCUUCGUGCGCUUAUUUUUGGGCGCGGCUUUGCCCGCGGCUUAUUGUUGGCACCCCGAGGCCCCUCGCAAAGUCUCGCCCCAUUCCGAGUCCGGCGGACGAACUUCACCCGCGCCCCCCACCAAGGCUAUAGCCCACCCGUUUUUUGGCCAUUUUUCCGCUGGGGGUUUUGGCACCACGACCUUCGGGCGCUUAUUUUUGGGCGCGGCUUUGCCUGCGGCUUAUUUUUGGCACCCCGAGGCCCCUCCCAAAGUCUCGCCCCAUUCCGAGUCCGGCGGAAGAACUUCGCUCGCGCCCCCCACCAAGGCUAUAGCCCACGACCCGUUUUUUGGCCAUUUUUCCGCUGGGGGGUUUUGGCACCACGACCUUCGGGCACUUAUUUUUGGGCGUGGCUUUGCCCGCGGCUUAUUUUUGGCACCCCGAGGCCCCUCGCAAAGUCUCGCCCCAUUCCGAGUCCGGCGGACGAACUUCGCCCGCGCCCCCCACCAAGGCUAUAGCCCACGACCCGUUUUUUGGCCAUUUUUCCGCUGGGGGGUUUUGGCACCACGACCUUCGGGCGCUUAUUUUUGGGCGCGGCUUUGCCCGCGGCUUAUUUUUGGUACCCCGAGGCCCCUCGUAAUGUCUCGCCCCAUUCCGAGUCCGGCGGACGAACUUCGCCCGCGCCCCCCGCAAAGGCUAUAGCCCACGACCCGUUUUUUGGCAAUUUUUCCGCUGGGGGGUUUGGCCCCACGACCUUCGGGCGCUUAUUUUUGGGCGCGGCUUUGCCCGCGGCUUAUUUUUGGCACCCCGAGGCCCCUCACAAAGUCUCGCCCCAUUCCGAGUCCGGCGGACGAACUUCGCCCGCGCCCCCCACCAAGGCUAUAGCCCACGACCCGUUUUUUGGCCAUUUUUCCGCUGGGGGGUUUUGGCACCACGACCUUCGGGCGCUUAGUAUUGGGCGCGGCUUUGCCCGCGGCUUAUUUUUCGCACCCCGAGGCCCCUCGCAAAGUCUCGCCCCAUUCCGAGUCCGGCGGACGAACUUCGCCCGUGCCCCCCACCAAGGCUAUAGCCCACCGUUUUUUGGCCAUUUUUCCGCUGGGGGGUUUUGGCACCACGACCUUCGGGCGCUUAUUUUUGAGCGCGGCUUUGCCCGCGGCUUAUUUUUGGCACCCCGAGACCCCUGGCAAAGUCUCGCCCCAUUCCGAGUCCGGCGGACGAACUUCGCCCGCGCCCCCCACCAAGGCUAUAGCCCACGACCCGUUUUUUGGCCAUUUUUCCGCUGGGGGGUUUUGGCACCACGACCUUCGGGCGCUUAGUAUUGGGCGCGGCUUUGCCCGCGGAUUAUUUUUCGCACCCCGAGGCCCCUCGCAAAGUCUCGCCCCAUUCCGAGUCCGGCGGACGAACUUCGCCCGCGCCCCCCACCAAGGCUAUAGCCCACCGUUUUUUGGCCAUUUUUCCGCUGGGGGGUUUUGGCACCACAACCUUCGGGCACUUAUUUUUGGGCGCGGCUUUGCCCGCGGCUUAUUUUUGGCACCCCGAGGCCCCUUACAAAGUCUCGCCCCAUUCCGAGUCCGGCGGACGAACUUCGCCCGCCCCCCCCACCAAGGCUAUAGCCCACCCGUUUUUUGGCCAUUUUUCUGCUGUGGGGUUUUGGCACCACAACCUUCGGGCGCUUAUUUUUGGGCGCGGAUUUGCCCGCGGCUUAUUUUUGGCACCCCGAAGCCCCUCGCAAAGUCUCGCCCCAAUCCGAGUCCGGCGGACGAACUUCGUCCGCGCCCCCCACCAAGGCUAUAGCCCACGACCCGUUUUUUGGCCAUUUUUCCGAUGGGGGGUUUUGGCACCACGACCUUCGGGCGCUUAUUUUUGGGCGCGGCUUCGCCCGCGGCUUGGUUUUGGCACCCCGAGGCCCCUCGCAAAGUCUCGCCUCAUUCCGAGUUCGGCGGACGAACUUUGCCCGCGCCCCCCACCAAGGCUAUAGCCCACCCGUUUUUUGGCCAUUUUUCCGCUGGGGGGUUUCGGCACCACGACCUUCGGGCGCUUAUUUUUGGGCGCGGCUUUGCCCACGGCUUAUUUUUGGCACCCCGAGGCCCCUCGCAAAGUCACACCCUAUUCCGAGUCCGGCGGACGAACUUCGCCCGCGCCCCCCACCAAGGCUAUAGCCCACAACCGUUUUUUGGCCAUUUUUCCGCUGGCGGGUUUUGGUACCACGACCUUCGGGCGCUUAUUUUUGGGCGCGGCUUACCCGCUGCUUAUUUUUGGAACCCCGAGGCCCCUCGCAAAGUCUCGCCCCAUUCCGAGUCCGGCGGACGAACUUCGUCCGCGCCCCCCACCAAGGCUACAGCCCACGACCUGUUUUUUGGCCAUUUUUCCGCUGGGGGGUUUUGGCACCACGACCUUCGGGCCCUUAUUUUUGGGCGCGGCUUUGCCCGCGGCUUGGUUUUGGCACCCCGAGGCCCCUCGCAAAGUCUCGCCCCAUUCCGAGUCCGGCGGACGAACUUCGCCCGCGCCCCCCACCAAGGCUAUAGACCACCCGUUUUUUGCCCAUUUUUCCGCUGGAGGGUUUUGGCACCACGACCUUCGGGCACUUAUUUUUGGGCGCGGCUUUGCCCGCGGCUUAUUUUUGGCACCCCGAGGCCCCUCGCAAAGUCUCACCCCAUUCCGAGUCCGGCGGUCGAACUUCGCCCGCGCCCCCCACCAAGGCUAUAGCCCACGACCCGUUUUUUGGCCAUUUUUCCGCUGGGGGGUUUUGGCACCACGACCUUCGGGCCCUUAUUUUUGGGCGCGGCUUUGCCCGCGGCUUAUUUUUGGCACCCCGAGGCCCCUCGCAAAGUCUCGUCCCAUUCCGAGUCCGGCGGACGAACUUCGUCCGCGCCCCCCACCAAGGCUAUAGCGCACGACCCGUUUUUUGGCCAUUUUUCCGCUGGGGGGUUUUGGCACCACGGCCUUCGUGCGCUUAUUUUUGGGCGAGGCUUUGCCCGCGGCAUAUUUUUGGCACCCCGAGGCCCCUCGCAAAGUCUCGCCCCAUUCCGAGUCCGGCGGACGAACUUCGCCUGCCCCCCCACCAAGGCUAUAGCCCACGACACGUUUUUUGGCCAUUUUUCCGCGGGGGGGUUUUUGCACCAUGACCUUCGGGCGCUUAUUUUUGGGCGCGGCUUUGCCCGCGGCUUAUUUUUGGCACCCCGAGGCCCCUCGCAAUGUCUCGCCCCAUUCCGAGUCCGGCGGACGAACUUCGCCCGCGCCCCCCACCAAGGCUAUAGCCCAACCGUUUUUUGGCCAUUUUUCCGCUGGGGGGUUUUGGCACCACGACCUUCGGGCGCUUAUUUUUGGGCGCGGCUUUCCCCGCGGCUUAUUUUUGGCACCCCGAGGCCCCUCGCAAAGUCUCGUUCCAUUCCGAGUCCGGCGGAUGAACUUCGCCCGCGCCCCCCCCCCCCAAGGCUAUAGCCCACGACCCGUUUUUUGGCCAUUUUUCCGCCUGGGGUUUAUGGCACCACGACCUUCGGGCAGUUAUUUUUGGGCGCGGCUUGCCCGCGGCUUAUUUUUGGCACCCGGAGGCCCCUCGCAAAGUCUCGCCCCAUUCCGAGUCCGGCAGACGAACUUCGCCCGCGCCCCCCACCAAGGCUAUAGCCCACGACCCGUUUUUUGGCCAUUUUUCCGCUGGGGGGUUUUGGCACCACGGCCUUCGGGCGCUUAUUUUUGGGCGCGGCUUUGCCCGCGGCUUAUUUUUGGCACCCCGAGGCCCCUCGCAAAGUCUCGCCCCAUUCCGAGUCCGGUGGACGAACUUCGCCCGCACCCCCCAGCAAGGCUAUAGCCCACGACCCGUUUUUUGGCCAUUUUUCCGCUGGGGGGUUUUGGCACAACGACCUUCGGGCGCUUAUUUUUGGGCGCGGCUUUGCCCGCGGCUUAUUUUUGGCACCCCGAGGCCCCUCGCAAAGUCUCGUCCCAUUCCGAGUCCGGCGGACGAACUUCGCCAGCGCCCCCCACCAAGGCUAUAGCCCACGACCCGUUUUUUGGCCAUUUUUAAGCUGGGGGGUUUUGGCACCACGGCCUUCGGGCGCUUAUUUUUGGGCGCGGCUUUGCCCGCGGCUUAUUUUUGGCACCCCGAGGCCCCUCGCAAAGUCUCGCCCCAUUCCGAGUCCGGCGGACGAACUUCGCCCGCGCCCCCCACCAAGGCUAUAGCCCACGACCCGUUUUUUGGCCAUUUUUCCACUGGGGGGUUUUGGCACCGCGACCUUCGGGCGCUUAUUUUUUGGCGCGGCUUUGCCCACGGCUUAUUUUUGGCACCCCGAGGCCCCUCGCAAAGUCUCACCCCAUUCCGAGUCCGGCGGACAAACUUCGCCCGCGCCCCCCACCAAGGCUAUAGCCCACGACCCGUUUUUUGGCCAUUUUUCCACUGGGGGGGUUUUGGCACCGCGACCUUCGGGCGCUUAUUUUUUGGCGCGGCUUUGUCCGCGGCUUAUUUUUGGCACCCCGAGGCCCCUCGCAUAGUCUCGCCCCAUUCCGAGUCCGGCGGACGAACUUCGCCCGCGCCCCCCACCAAGGCUAUAGCCCACGACCCGUUUUUUGGGCAUUUUUCCGCUGGGGGGUUUUGGCACCACGGCCUUCGGGCGCUUAUUUUUGGGCGCGGCUUUGCCCGCGGCUUAUUUUUGGCACCCCGAGGCCCCUCGCAAAGUCUCGCCCCAUUCCGAGUCCGGCGGACGAAAUUUCGCCCGCGCCCCCCGCCAAGGGUACAGCCCACGACCCGUUUUUUUGGCCAUUUUCCGCUGGGGGGUUUUGGCACCACGACCUUCGGGUGCUUAUUUUUGGGCGCGGCUUUGCCCGCGGCUUAUUUUUGGCACCCCGAGGCCCCUCGCAUAGUCUCGCCCCAUUCCGAGUCCGGCGGACGAACUUCGCCCGCGCCCCCCGCCAAGGCUAUAGCCCACGACCCGUUUUUUGGCCAUUUUUCCACUGGGGGGUUUUGGCACCACGACCUUCGGGUGCUUAUUUUUGGGCGCGGCUUUGCCCGCGGCUUAUUUUUUGCACCCCGAGGCUCCUCGCAUAGUCUCGCCCCAUUCCGAGUCCGGCGGACGAACUUCGCCCGCGCCCCCCAUCAAGGCUAUAGCCCACGACCCGUUUUUUGGUCAUUUUUCCGCUGGGGGGUUUUGGCACCACGACCUUCGGGUGCUUAUUUUUGGGCGCGGCAUUGCCCGCGGCUUAUUUUUGGCACCCCGAGGCCCCUCGCAUAGUCUCGCCCCAUUCCGAGUCCGGCGGACGAACUUCGCCCGCGCCCCCCGCCAAGGCUAUAGCCCACGACCCGUUUUUUGGCCAUUUUUCCGCUGGGGGGUUUUGGCACCACGACCUUCGGGCGCUUAUUUUUGGGCGCGGCUUUCCCCGCGGCUUAUUUUUGGCACCCCGAGGCCCCUCGCAAAGUCUCGCCCCAUUCCGAGUCCGGCGGACGAACUUCGCCCGCGCCCCCCCCCAAGGCUAUAGCCCACGACCCGUUUUUUGGCCAUUUUUCCGCCUGGGGUUUAUGGCACCACGACCUUCGGGCGGUUAUUUUUGGGCGCGGCUUUGCCCGCGGCUUAUUUUUGGCACCCGGAGGCCCCUCGCAAAGUCUCGCCCCAUUCCGAGUCCGGCAGACGAACUUCGCCCGCACCCCCCACCAAGGCUAUAGCCCACGACCCGUUUUUUGGCCAUUUUUCCGCUGGGGGGUUUUGGCACCACGGCCUUCGGGCGCUUAUUUUUGGGCGCGGCUUUGCCCGCGGCUUAUUUUUGGCACCCCGAGGCCCCUCGCAAAGUCUCGCCCCAUUCCGAGUCCGGUGGACGAACUUCGCCCGCACCCCCCAGCAAGGCUAUAGCCCACGACCCGUUUUUUGGCCAUUUUUCCGCUGGGGGGUUUUGGCACAACGACCUUCGGGCGCUUAUUUUUGGGCGCGGCUUUGCCCGCGGCUUAUUUUUGGCACCCCGAGGCCCCUCGCAAAGUCUCGUCCCAUUCCGAGUCCGGCGGACGAACUUCGCCGGCGCCCCCCACCAAGGCUAUAGCCCACGACCCGUUUUUUGGCCAUUUUUAAGCUGGGGGGUUUUGGCACCACGGCCUUCGGGCGCUUAUUUUUGGGCGCGGCUUUGUCCGCGGCUUAUUUUUGGCACCCCGAGGCCCCUCGCAAAGUCUCGCCCCAUUCCGAGUCCGGCGGACGAACUUCGCCCGCGCCCCCCACCAAGGCUAUAGCCCACGACCCGUUUUUUGGCCAUUUUUCCACUGGGGGGUUUUGGCACCGCGACCUUCGGGCGCUUAUUUUUUGGCGCGGCUUUGCCCACGGCUUAUUUUUGGCACCCCGAGGCCCCUCGCAAAGUCUCACCCCAUUCCGAGUCCGGCGGACGAACUUCGCCCGCGCCCCCCACCAAGGCUAUAGCCCACGACCCGUUUGUUGGCCAUUUUUCCACUGGGGGGUUUUGGCACCGCGACCUUCGGGCGCUUAUUUUUUGGCGCGGCUUUGCCCACGGCUUAUUUUUGGCACCCCGAGGCCCCUCGCAAAGUCUCACCCCAUUCCGAGUCCGGCGGACGAACUUCGCCCGCGCCCCCCACCAAGGCUAUAGCCCACGACCCGUUUUUUGGCCAUUUUUCCGCUGGGGGGUUUUGGCACCACGACCUUCUGGCGCUUAUUUUUGGGCGCGGCUUUGUCCGCGGCUUAUUUUUAGCACCCCGAGGCCCCUCGCAAAGUCUCGCCCCAUUCCGAGUCCCGGCGGACGAACUUCGCCCGCGCCCCCCACCAAGGCUAUAGCCCACAACCCGUUUUUUGGCCAUUUUUCCGCUGGGGGGGUUUGGCACCGCGACCUUCGGACGCUUAUUUUUGGGCGCGGCUUUGCCCGCGGCUUAUUUUUGGCACCCCGAGGCCCCUCGCAAAGUCUCGUCCCAUUCCGAGUCCGGCGGACGAACUUCGCCCGCGCCCCCCACCAAGGCUAUAGCCCACGACCCGUUUUUUGGCCAUUUUUCCGCUGGGGGGUUUUGGCACCACGGCCUUCGGGCGCUUAUUUUUGGGCGCGGCUUUGCCCGCGGCUUAUUUUUGGCACCCCGAGGCCCCUCGCAAAGUCUCGCCCCAUUCCGAGUCCGGUGGACGAACUUCGCCCGCACCCCCCAGCAAGGCUAUAGCCCACGACCCGUUUUUUGGCCAUUUUUCCGCUGGGGGGUUUUGGCACAACGACCUUCGGGCGCUUAUUUUUGGGCGCGGCUUUGCCCGCGGCUUAUUUUUGGCACCCCGAGGCCCCUCGCAAAGUCUCGUCCCAUUCCGAGUCCGGCGGACGAACUUCGCCAGCGCCCCCCACCAAGGCUAUAGCCCACGACCCGUUUUUUGGCCAUUUUUAAGCUGGGGGGUUUUGGCACCACGGCCUUCGGGCGCUUAUUUUUGGGCGCGGCUUUGCCCGCGGCUUAUUUUUGGCACCCCGAGGCCCCUCGCAAAGUCUCGCCCCAUUCCGAGUCCGGCGGACGAACUUCGCCCGCGCCCCCCACCAAGGCUAUAGCCCACGACCCGUUUUUUGGCCAUUUUUCCACUGGGGGGUUUUGGCACCGCGACCUUCGGGCGCUUAUUUUUUGGCGCGGCUUUGCCCACGGCUUAUUUUUGGCACCCCGAGGCCCCUCGCAAAGUCUCACCCCAUUCCGAGUCCGGCGGACGAACUUCGCCCGCGCCCCCCACCAAGGCUAUAGCCCACGACCCGUUUUUUGGCCAUUUUUCCACUGGGGGGUUUUGGCACCGCGACCUUCGGGCGCUUAUUUUUUGGCGCGGCUUUGCCCACGGCUUAUUUUUGGCACCCCGAGGCCCCUCGCAAAGUCUCACCCCAUUCCGAGUCCGGCGGACGAACUUCGCCCGCGCCCCCCACCAAGGCUAUAGCCCACAACCCGUUUUUUGGCCAUUUUUCCGCUGGGGGGUUUUGGCACCGCGACCUUCGGACGCUUAUUUUUGGGCGCGGCUUUGCCCGCGGCUUAUUUUUGGCACCCCGAGGCCCCUCGCAAACUCUCGUCCCAUUUCGAGUCCGGCGGACGAACUUCGCCCGCGCCCCCCACCAAGGCUAUAGCCCACGACCCGUUUUUUGGCCAUUUUUCCGCUGGGGGGUUUUGGCACCACGGCCUUCGGGCGCUUAUUUUUGGGCGCGGCUUUGCCCGCGGCUUAUUUUUGGCACCCCAAGGCCCCUCGCAAAGUCUCGCCCCAUUCCGAGUCCGGCGGACGAACUUCGCCCGCGCCCCCCACCAAGGCUAUAGCCCACGACCCGUUUUUUGGCCAUUUUUCCACUGGGGGGUUUUGGCACCGCGACCUUCGGGCGCUUAUUUUUGGCGCGGCUUUG
rnacentral:lncRNA from 1 species